GCGAGUUAUUCUGUGAGAUUCUCCAGAUUUUCCUUCCUGUGCCUUGCCUCCGUGUAGGAGGGUUAGGAUUACAGAUGCUCACCCUAUAGCACCUGACUUAUUUGAGUUGUGGGUAUUCAAACUUAGGUCUUCAAACUUGCAGCAAGUGUUCUUACCACUGAGCCUCUCACUUUCCUUUCACUUCUUGAUCAUGAGGUUAGUGGCUCUCCAUAUCAUGUCCACCCCCAAACCAAAAGCAACAAGGCCAACCAAUCAUGGACUGAAGCCUCUAAAACUGUGAACCAAAAUAAUUUUUCUUUUUAUCACUUGAUUAUCUUACUUUUUUCUUGAGACAGGGUUUCUCUGUGUAACAGCUCUAGCUGUCCUGAGUCCCACUUUGUAGACCAGGCUGGCCUCGAACUCACAGAGAUCGGCCUGCCUCUGCUUCCUGAGUACUGGGAUUAAAGGCGUGCGCCACCACGCCCAUCUGGCUCUUACAUACUUACAUAGUGGCAGAAAGCUGACAGCUGGAUGACUAACACACAACAAAGGUGUGCUGUCCAGACUUCUGGAACCAUGGGAAAUAAAAAUCAAGCCAUGUCUGGCCUGUGUGAUAGAGGCCCAAGUUCUCCCAGAUAGCACCUGCUCGCUGUGGCCUCGAGUGGUAGAAGAAUGAAUGAGCUCCCUCAAAGCUCUUCUACAAGUGUGUCAAUCCUGCUGCGGAUGUUCCAUAUACGAGCACACCCGAAUUUACACUACUGCACAUGGGUCAGUUGAGUUUCCUCUAAGUCUGUUGCUAAUUGUCACCCAAACCAGUUCAGGUUCGGAUAACAGAGACCAUUUUUUUUUUAUUCUUAUCCAUCUUGCUUGUUCAGUUAAGUUAAGUGAAUAUGAACAAGACGAAUUACCAAGGUAAUGAUUUCCACAUCAUGGGGUUUGUGAAGCCUUUGUUUGUUGUGUCCAUUUGUCAAAGGGCAGAAGUGAGGAGAUGGCGUAUCCUUUGUGCUUCAAGGGUGUGGCUGACAGCUGCUUGAUCAGUACUGGGGAUUCUAGAAUAUCACAGUACUUCAAACACGUCUUUCUUUGUGAGACGUGAUACUUGUAAUCCAGGUACUAUGUACCAGGCUGGCCUUGAACACAUGGCAAUUAUUCUGCCUCUGGCUCCUGAUUAUGGAGAUUACAGCUGUGAGCCACACCAGCUUUCUCAGAAAAAAAUUCUAUUUUAUUCUAGUUUUAAUAAAAAAUUUGUGCCAGGUGUGUUGGCCUACGCCUUUAAUCUUAGCACUUGGGAGGCAGAGGCAAUCAGAUCUCUGUGAAUUUGAGGCCAGCCUGGUCUACAUGGUGAAUUCCAGGACAGCCAGGGCUAUGCAGAGACACCUGUUUCAAAAAACCAAAAUACAUACAUGCAUACAUACAUACAUGCAUACAUACAUACAUACUACAGAAUUUGUUUAUUAUGGUAUGUAUGUUCAUGAUGUAAGGGCAAGACAGGCAUGUCACUACAUACAUGCAUACAUACUACAGAAUUUGUUUAUUAUGGUAUGUGUGUACAUGAUGUAAGGGCGGGGCAUGCAUGUCACUACAUACAUGCAUACAUACUACAGAAUUUGUUUAUUAUGGUAUGUGUGUACAUGAUGUAAGGGUGGGGCAUGCAUGUCACUACAUACAUGCAUACAUACUACAGAAUCUGUUUAUUAUGGUAUGUGUGUACAUGAUGUAAGGGCGGGGCAUGCAUGUCACUACAUACAUGCAUACAUACUACAGAAUUUGUUUAUUAUGGUAUGUGUGUACAUGAUGUAAGGGCGGGGCAGGCAUGUCACUACAUACAUGCAUACAUACUACAGAAUUUGUUUAUUAUGGUAUGUGUGUACAUGAUGUAAGGGCAGGGCAUGCAUGUCACUACAUACAUGCAUACAUACUACAGAAUUUGUUUAUUAUGGUAUGUGUGUACAUGAUGUAAGGGCGGGGCAUGCAUGUCACUACAUACAUGCAUACAUACUACAGAAUUUGUUUAUUAUGGUAUGUGUGUACAUGAUGUAAGGGCGGGGCAUGCAUGUCACUUGUGAGUGUGGAGGUCAGUUCUCCCCUUCCACCUGCAUGUGGUUAGCCCCGGGAAUUGAACUCGGGUCACCACACUUGCCUGGCUCGUGCCUUUACCCACAGAGCCGUCUCACUGGCCUCAGCACAGUUGUCAAAUAGGAGAUGGUGAUUAGCUGUAUUCUUUUUGAAAUGGAUUUUCUCCAGUGAAAUUACAUGCCAUUUUUAUGUUUCUUUUAUGGUUUUUGUAAGCAUUGAAGUUGGGAGUUGGGAGCCAAGGAAUACCACAAAGUCACCCUAAGCGUAGCAGCUUACCUCCUGCUCCAGGGAAGGGUUUCCCCAAUGCAAAUGUAACAACUGUGCUCUGGCAAGGGAACUCCCCAGAGAAGUUCUUACUGCUCUGUUCUGGAGAAGUGUUAUAGUUCUACUCAGGCCCCUGGAGUGUAACAGCUCUGCUCAGCUAGAGGAAGAUUUCCCCAGGGAAAGUAUUACACUUAUGCUCCUCCCUCUGGCUCCAGCAAAAAGUUGUUACAGAUAGGCUCUGCCCCAGAGAAAGUGUCACACCUCACAACAAACCUCACAGAAGAGAUUUACUGGGAAGGAAGAAUACAGGGGGGUGGCUGCCUCUAGGGUGAGAAGCAGCAGUGAACCGAACAGGGCACAGAGCUUAUAUAGAGUUUCUUCAGGGGCAGAGCUUUCCAGGGUGGCUUGGGAUUGGUGGUUUUUUGUAGCCUGAUUCUGGGGAAAGCUCAGGGAUUGGUGGGAUUUCAUGCUCAGGGACCUCAGGGAUUGGUGGAAUUCUGCAGCCUGACUCGGGCAAGCUCAGUGAUUGGUGGGAUUUCAAGCCCUGGUCCUGGGGUCAAGUCAGGGGCAGGCUGUUUCUUCCUUGGCCCUUUUCACCCUACAGUUUUGUUUUCAAGACAAGGUCUUCUGUAUCUCAGGUUGUCUUCAAACUUGCUACAUAGCCAAGGAUCAUCUUAAACUUCUGAUUCUCUUGCUUCUACCUCCCGAGUGCUGGGAUUACAGGUGUGGAUCACUGCUCCCAGUUACCUGGUGCUGGGUGUCUAACUCAGAGCUUUGUGCAUGCUAAAGAAGCACUCUACCUACUGAGCUAUAAUGCGAGAGAUCCACAGAUGUCUGGGAGGAAGACUUAUUACUCAUGAAUAUAGAACAAGUAAAUGCCACUGCUGACCCAGGUGCCAUUCUGCCCAAGGGCAAUGAGGACCAACCCCAAGCUGCUUGAUACAGCUCUGACCAUCCAAAGGAGUGUGACCCUUCUUCCUCCACUCUUAGGCAGCACAUAUGCAGACAAGACCAUGCCCUAGGGCUACCCAGAAGCCAUUGACUGAACGGAUUGAAUUCCCACAACAGAGCUAUGUGCCCAUUUCCUACUAUUUUCAUUAUGAACCUUUCAAACAUGCAUGUGAGAGACUGCUACACUGAGCCCUGUACCUUCGAAGUAUUAACUUGUGGCUAGUUCCAUUUCCUAUGAGUCAUUGUGAGGGCUAAAGUAUGUCAGGAUGUAUGCUUUCCUUCAUUGUACAAAGGCAGGAAAUGUAUAACCUUAUGGGGUUUGCCUUUACAAACCCCUGUCUAAUGUGUUUCGGUGCUAUUCUCUGGGAAUCCUGGGUAUGGACCUGGCCAGUAUUUAAUAAUAAAGUUGGCUUCGAAUUUGGCUUCAAAAUUAUGGUAGUGGUCUUAUUGUUGUCCAGGGGAAUUAACAUUACCUAACCCAUCUCCUAUUUCCCAUGUCCACCAUGAUUAUUCUGGAGCAAAUCUGAGAUAUUUUAUCUGCAUCUUAGUGUUGUUGGUCCAAGACUCCAAAACAAUCCCAGCAGACACAAGAGGUCAUGCAAAGCAAGAUUUAUUACUGGGCAGCACAACAGAAACUGACCAGGGAGGGCCCACAGCACAGACUUGGAAGCUGACUGCAUCCUCAAAAUUCAUUUCAGCAAGCAUUUAACCACAAAACCCACACAUAUCUGUGUCAAGUUACAGUUACAUUUUUCCACCAAUCAGAACUCAAAGAUUAGGGGUCUUCCCUACAUGUUCUAUCAUUGCCGACCUAUACAGAAUGGAAGCUUUUCAGUCCAACCAAUCAGAUUUAUUUCUUCUUUCUGUUGUUAGGGAGAGCCAUGAUGUUUUUAGAGAACUAAAGAUGCACAACAGACAAUUUCUGUUGUUUAAGGAGGAGGUGGGUCAGCUAUUGGAAAGUCCCCAGCUUCCCUAGGGCUUGGGAACUUGAACUUUGGUUUCACUCCACAGGUAAAAUGGAGUCUGGAGUCAAAAUGGCAGUACUCAGGACAAGGGGCCUUUUGCCCGUUCCCAACAUUAGUGUGUAUUUCUGAAAGUUAAGGACUGUUUAAAAAAUAUGACUAUAUCCAGAUGGGGUAGUUCAAGUCUAUAAACUUAGCUCUUAGGAAAUGGAAACAGGAGAGCCAGAAACUUAAGUCUUGUAUAUUAUUAAAAGACUGAAGAACCAAAGCAACCCCAUUUCAAGCAAGCCACUCACCCCAGCUUGAAACAGGCCUGGGUUUCAAAAUUCUCAGAGCUGUUGACAUAGAUCCCAGGAACCCCAAAGUACAAAGUUAGGAUGUUUGAGGGACUAUCUGGUAGCAAUUGAUUAACCACAGACUACCCCAGUGCUGGAGAGAGUCUAUAAAGUUUGACAAACAACUGGUCAAAACUGCAAAGUCGGGUAACACAGAAAUUCUGGAAAGCCCCGAAAAUGAGUCAAUCAGAAUUGUACCCACACUAGCACCCCUAACUGAUGUAACCUUGUGAUUUUUGCUUUUAAAAACUGAGCUUGCAGGCUGGAGUGAUGGCUCAGUGGUUAAGAGCACCGGUUGCUCUUCCAGAGGACCGGGGUUCAAUUCCCAGCACCCACAUGGCAGCUCACAACUGUCUAUAACUCCAGUUCCAGGGCAAAACACCAAUGCACAUCAAAUAAAAAUAAAUAAAUUAAAAAAACAAAAAACUGAGCUUGCAGAGGGGAGGGCACCUCCACUAGCCUCCGCUGUGUUGGGGUGGUCAACGAGGUCCCUGCUGUGGGCUUGAACUGCUUUAAUAAACCUUGCUUUUGCAUUUCGGUGAGUUCAUGUCUCUGGUGGUCUCUUUGGGGGGUCUUGCACCCAGGGCACAGCAAGACCAGCCUUAAUAAUACACUUCCCAGGGGCUCAGAAGAGAAACUACGAAUGGUGAGAACUAUUUUUGGGAAAUGAAUAGAAGUACACCAAGCUCUUUGUCCAUCUACUUUAUUCCUCUGGGAUAAAAUCCUAUCUACACAGCUUCAGUUCUGUACUCAAGCCUAGUUCCUUUCUUACCUGAUUUGUCUCUACCUUUAUCUGUUGUCCCCUCUAAGUUCUAUCUUAAUUCUCUCAUUUUAGUUCUGCCUCAUCUAGGUCCUUCUCAUCUCGUUCUUACCCAUCUAGAUCUUUCCCCUCUGGCUCUUCCUCAUCUUCCAUCCUGACUUCCAGUUCUCUAGUCAAAAAUUCUCUCCAGCCAAAAUCCUCAAUAUCCUCUCUUUGUUCUCCUUAUACCUCAAUUCCCCUCAGUCUCUGAGGUGUUCAGUUAUAAACCCAAGCCCUAAGGAUCCUCUGGCAGAGCACCAGGUUUGAAUUCUUAUGGGGUCAUAAAGGCAGAUAAGAAUUUUCCUCAGGCAGUGGCCGGCAGGCUUUCUUUUACAAUCCAAAUGAGUGCUAAUGAUCAGUUAGUCAAGAAUGGAAUUUAUGUGCUCAAUCUACAUUCCUAGAAGUGUUUAGGUAAGAAAUUAGGAGUCUAUUAGUAAGGCUGAAAGGAAGGAAGGUCUCACCCUAAAUUGCACAAGAAAUAAAGCUAUCCUCCUGACCUAGGAGUCAGGUGCUAUUUUAUUUGGCCUUGGAUGCUUGAUAGGUAUUAUAGAUAAAUACACUGUUAGGAGUUCUUGGAAGCAUGCAUAGCAUUACAAGAAAAUCACUGUAGGUGUUGUGCCCAGAUCAUGACCCCCAGAGAGACCACCAAAGACGAGCAUGCCGGAAUGCAAAAGCAAGGUUUAAUUCUGGAUAUCCAAUACAAGCCUAGGCAGGGACUUCGUCCAAUACAUCCAAUGCAGUGGAGGCUGGAGGAAGUGCCCACCUAUCUGCAAGCUCGGUUUUUAAAGGGAAAAAUCACAAGGUUACAUCAUUUAGGGGUGCUAGUAUGGGUACAAUUCUGAUUGGCUUGCUUCUAGGGGCUUUCUAGAAAUCAUGGCUUAAUCUUACUUCUAAGGGAGUGGUUGCCUGCCACCAUUUCUCAUUGGCUGCCCUCAGGUGGGGGCAUUUUUAUGGUCAGUUACCCUGGAAACCAGGGAGAGGGCAUUGCAUAGUCUGGCAGGCAUUACCUCGUGACUACCUUGUGACUCUGUACUUUUACACUUCCUGGUUUCUGAAAUCUGAACUGACUGGUUUCAGUAACUAAUGGCCUAUUCCUAAAAAGAGAAAUCUUAGGCCUUAAUUUUAGGGUAAAAGCAUUUUGGUUUUAUUUCUAAGAUGGCUCAUUUUGGUCUCACAUUUCCCCCUUCUCAUGUGCCUAAUGGAACCCAAUCAUGGGUUUUGGGCAGUUAGCUCCUAAGUAUCCCUCUCUAAUAAUGGCCAUGUAUAGUUAGCCAUCUUGUCUCUAUGCCAGGGAGUUUUCUUUUGACCCAGCAUUUCAGCCUUUUCUGAACAGGGAACAUGGGAUGACGUAUUCUCUUCUGGAACUGCUUCGAGCUGGCAUUGGGAUGCCGAUGUCAGGGACCCCAAAAGGCUGAAAAGCUAGUCAAGGACUGGGCAAAGAGGCAAUUGUCAGAAGUGUGUGGCUCUCUGACCCUGUAGAGACAAGGAACAAUCACAUUGGCUGGGCUGGUCCACAUCAGCUUUUAGCAAGUCCGGAGUUCACAGUUGUCUGAAGCAGUGGAGUCUGUGACUGAAACUUGGAGGUGACUGCCAGCCAAGUGGAAAUCUGUUGAGACAAAUUUAAACUAGGAACAGAAGUUAAAAUUUAUGAACUUAUUUGGAACCCUUUGGUCCAUACCCUUAGUAAUGGGAAAAGCAGUAGUCCCAAGACCAGGAGAGAGGAAAAAUACCAUCUUUAGGAAUACUUAUCUGGGGUCCUUUAGACCUCUGUGAAGUGGGUCUAGGUUUUUAUGACUCUUUGGAUCCUUUGAGGCCUACUUACAAAAUGACAUAAAAGUUUUAGAUACAUUAGUAUUACCAAUCUGUACUGAAAUCCAUAUUGUAGACAAAGCAGGUAAUGGGUAUCUGUAAAACAGCAGAAGUGGACUCAUACCUUUGAGUCCCAACAAGAACUACAGAUUUGGGUUAAAAGCUUGUGCAUUUUCCUUCUGUCCAGAAAGCCAGGUAUAAAUUGGAUAGAGAUUUUUGACCUGAUGAGAAGCACUUUUAGGUUUACAUUUAGACAUAUUUAGAUGACAUCUAAAACAAAUCCAAAAUGUUGAGCUUGUGACUGAACAGUAAGUAGUCAUUGCUCUUCCAGCUCAUCAGGGCUCCUAAAUGUUAAGCUCUGAACCAUAGAACAGGAGAGUAAUCUGAAACAUAUCUCAUCCUAAAUUAUUUUUUUGAGACCCUCAAAGCUUAGAAGCUUUUCUAUCUUCAGACCUUUCUUACACUCAUAUCUGAACCUUUAUGACUUAAACUUUUAUAUCUUAGAACAUUUUCCUAAAAGUGAGCUAACAAGCUAGAUAUAGCCUUGCAGAAGGAUCUGGUUGUCUGAUGCUGCCAUGCUGACAAAGUUAGAGCUGGCCUAGCCAUCAGUACUAUCAGAAAUCUGAGAAGGAUAAAGUAUAUCUGAGUGCAGAUCAAGAAGCUUCCAAUCCUAUAAAUUACAGGGACCAAUCCCUGCCCAGGUCUCCAUAGCGUUGGAGGCAUCAGUCAGAACAGCAUCAAUCUUCUUUCACCAUCUGGCCCAUUAUGAUCCUGUUUCCUGACUUUGGCACCAGCAGCUCCAUCACAAGCUUCCCAUCAGCUCCUUCACCAGGCUCUAAUGUGACCAUCACUUCUCCAUCAGGCUGAGGGAUGCUUCAGAAGAGACAGUGUUGCUCCCGGAUUAACUGUCCAGUCAACUUGAUGUCCACAUCUGCCUGGCCAGCCCUGGUGACACCAUCUUUGAUGUGGUAGAGAAGACACUCAGACAUCAAGGGGUCCUCAUUCAGAUUUACCAGAUGGGGAGUCUCUCUCUCUUUUUUUUUUUUUUUUUGGAGAGAAGACACCCACAGUACCACCAUCCUCUUGGACAGCCACGCCCAUCUCAGCCAGCAAUGCUUCUCUCUCCAUUCUCAGGGCUUCUGUCUUACAUAGCUUCUCCUCCCAAGUCUCAUUCAGCUCGGCAAUAAUCUUCUCCAUCUCCUGCAGCCUCUCCAUGGCCUCCUCAGGCCCAAUCUGGGGCUCAGCACUUGGGGAGAAGGAGAGAUCCAGCUCCCCAUUGUGUGGAGGAGGAGAUGAGGGUGAAGUUGGGGUGGGAGGAGAUGAUGCAGCCGACAGAGCACCUCCAGGACUGCCCUCUUUUACCUUCAGACCUCCUAGAGUAGAGGCUGGGAGUCCCUGAGCCAUCAGCAGCUCCCGCAAAUGUGUCACCUUGUCCUGCAGCUUCUCCUGUAGCUCUUGGGUAAGCCGGGCAUUGGGGCAUCUUGCCCUGUGGUCAUUGUUGCCAUAAUCCAGGCAGAGACAUUGUGGUGCCUCGUACGUAAUAUUCUUCAGAGACCUUGGGUCACUGCUAGGAUCUGGAAGCCUGUCUGAUAUAAUAAGCUUUUAGAUCAACAUUUAAAUGCCAUAUUCUGCAGAUCUCUGAAGUAUGAGGGCUGUCUAGGUAUCUGAAUAGACAAACUUUGUUUCUAGUUUCUUGUUUCAAGCUCAACCCUGAAAACAUAUGCAAGGGACUGAGUAAAUGAGUAAACUUAUCCCUAUAAUAUUACAUCAGUACUUCCUUACCCUGACUACAAUUAAAAAAACUUGAUUACUUAUGACUGACUAUUUAUGUUCUCUAACAGCCUAUAAGUAGCCUAAAAACAAUGCUUUUAAGUUGAAGCUCUUCUAGCAUCAAAUACAGGUUCAGUAAAGAAACCAAAACAAAAUAUCAAUAUACAACAUUCUUAAGCCUGAACGUACCUUGGUUAAGGAGAAACAUUUUUUUUAAGCCAUUGGGUUUUAACUCUAAAAACUGUUCUUAAAAGAUUAAGAUCUCUCAAAUGUCUUCUGUAAUAUCAACAAUAAAGUAUCUUCUUUUACUUUAAGGGGGAGAAAACAUGGCAUCAUCACAAUUUGUAUAAAGUAAAACCAAGCUCCAAAGUGCAAACAAUUCCAAAGUUUAAUAUCUGGGAUUUAUUUAUAAUCCUUUUAGUUCUUUUAAUUAGAGACUUGGAUGAUUUCUUUGACCCUACCUUUGGCAGCACAUACAUAGCCUGCCUGCUCCAUUCUUAAGAUGAAAACCAACCAGAAUUAACUUUCAAAUUCAGUAUUUGCAGGAAUAAGAAACUAUAACAAACAGUUUACAUCACAUCCCCUCUGACCUUCUACAACCUUCCAUGUACCCUCAGUCUGUUCCUUUGAUCCAUCAGACAUUUAGACAAAUUCCACUUUUUCUUUUCUUUUAAAACAGAAACUCUUUCCAAAGUCAUUCUUGUGAUUUCCCUUGGUAAUCUAGAAUAUAUUGUAAAGUUACAAUAUUUUAAACAAGAACAGAAAUACAUGCAUAUACCAUAACAAGAAUAACUCUCAAUUUGCAACCGCACUGUACCACAGACAAGAAACUAUUGGUGACAUUCCAUUCUUGGAGUCAGACCUUGAUCAGGUUUUAGCCCCAGGGCAGGUCUUGGGAGCCCCACCCAACAGCAUGGAAGAGGAAGAGGACAGGGAAGGCAUGCACCAUGGAGACAAAAGAUUGCUGUUAACCUCAGACUUUCAAGAACACGAGAAUGGCAGACUGAAAGUGACUCCAUGCCCUGGCUAGGCCCACAGACUUGUAGGCCACUCCUCAGCUGUGACCCUGGAGGGGCAGUUAGUUCUCCACCAGCCCUCACACUGAGCUCCUUGAGGCUCCUGCUAGCUCCUGCCAACUCUGCCCCAUGUCCACACAGGAGCCCAGCCAGAACCUGCCGGCCAUAUCUGGGCCCCACAGUGUUCACAGCCCGCCCUAGUACACAGCCAUGCCUAGUUCCCAUGCAGCCAAGCCUCUACUCCAUAGCUCUCUGAGCGAGCUGGGGCCUCGAACCCACUGCGUCUAGGCCCCAUGAUGCUCACAGGUCACCUAGCCCUCUCAGCAGCACCCUGGGUCCCCGAAGUAGCAGCUGUGCAGCCGCUGCCUGCCGGACUCAUUGCAAGCUUUCUGCUGCCUGCUGCCUGUGCUCUGGUCAGAGAGAGCAAGGAAGCAAUGAGGGAGUUCAGUUAAUCUGUGCCAGUUCAACCACCAAAGGGAUCUCCAUCCCUUCCACUGGCAAUCCGGCCCACAAGUCUCAAUGCAAACACAAGCUCAGGCAUAAAACACUCAUACAUGUGGCCACAGUUCUCACACAUUUAUACAUUUAUAUAGGUAUAACAAAUCACACUGACAAACAAGAUAGGCAGAAAAAAAAGGCAGACAAAAGGAAGAACAAGGGCCCUACAGAUGGUCCAGCAGACGAGAGUCCAGAGGGAGCCUCAAUUAUGCCAAACACCGUACGGACAGGACAGGGACAAUUCAGCAGAAUCUCCCGAUCCCCAGAGUUACAGACCCCUCACAGGCAUACAAACAGAUGAACCCCUUAUGGGCAUCCUAACAGACGGACCCCUCACAGGCGUUCUAUGACGGGGGGACCUGUGGGGACCCUGCGUCCUGAUGAGGGUUUGGGACAUCUCCCAACUCCUCCAGGGUCACCUUACAGGCACGUCCGCCAAGGUGCGAGCCUGUCAGAUUCAACCGCCGGCUUCAGAUAAGAAAAUGAAAGUAAAAGGAAAGCAAAGACAAGAAAAUGGAGCACUCUUACCAAUCGGUGCAGAUGGACCUCCGGAACUCUUAGGGGUCCCGGCGGGGGGUCUCUGGGGAUCCCAGACAAGCCCCCAAAUGUUGUGCCCAGAUCGCAACCCCCAGAGAGACUACCAAAGACGAGCAUGCCAGAAUGCAAAAGCAAGGUUUAAUUCUGGAUAUCCAAUACAAGCCUAGGCAGGGACUUUGUCCAAAAGAUCCAACGCAGUGGAGGCUGGAGGAAGUGCCCGCCUGUCUGCAAGCUCAGUUUUUAAAGGGAAAAAUCACAAGGUUACAUCAUUUAGGGGUGCUAAUAUGGGUACAAUUCUGAUUGGCUCGCUUCUAGGGGCUUUCUAGAAAUCAUGGCUUAAUCUUACUUCUAAGGGAGUGGUUGCCUGCCACCAUUUUUCAUUGGCUGCCCUCAGGUGGGGGCAUUUUUAUGGUCAGGUACCCUGGAAACUAAGGACAUUCCAUAGUCCAGCAGGCAUUACCUUGUGACUACCUUGUGACUCUGUACUUCUACACUUCCUGGUUUCUGGAAUCUGAACUGACUGGUUUCAGUAACUAAUGGCCUAUUCCUAAAAAGAGAAAUCUUAGGCCUUAAUUUUAGGGUGAAAGCAUUUUGGUUUUAUUUCUAAGAUGACUCAUUUUGGUCUCACAUAGGAACCAGCUAAUAUACAUAAAAAAGAUAAAAUAUCACCAAGACUUCUUAAGCCAUGGCUUGACCUUUGGAGAAGUUCUUGACUUUUCCAAGUAGUAGCUUUUGUGAUGGUAGCUGAAUUCCAUUACGUUUUCCUGUGGCUUGCAGCACUUAAGGUAAUCCUCAGCUACAUAGCUAGUUCAAGGCCAGUUUGGGCUGCAAAAUAUCCCAUCUUAAAAAACAAUCAAGGCUUUCUAGCUUUUUACCAGACAAUUCUUUGUGGUGCCAGAGAUUGAACACGGGAACUUGAACAUGCAGGCAGGGCACAUUUCCACUGAGCUGUUCCCCAGCCUGUUAGACACCUCCUCCUCAGCUCAGAACAAGCACUCACAGUCUCAACUACAAGCUGUUUACUUGGUUCAAGCUAAUGGAUAAAUUCCAAAUGCUCUGUUCAAGUUAAACAAAACUUUUUGUAGUAUAUACACUUGUAUAUAUAAGGGUUUUGAAUCAGUAAACUCUGCCUCAUGUUCACUUCCUGCUGCUUUGUCUCUUUUCAGAGAUCAGGCAGGAAAAUUCUGGGUGGUAUGGCUUUCCUCAGAAAUUAUGAUAAGGAAUCUGGGAGUGGUUAUGGUGAUAUUUUAUUUGUGCUGAAAUGUGAUUUUAUUUGUAUGUUAAUAAAUAAAGUUGCCUGGGGGUCAGAGCCAAUAGCAAACCAUUUAGCAGAAGUCUGGCAGUGGUAGCACACACCCUUAAUCCCGAUCACAUGACAGGCAGAAUCUCCGUGUGUUCAAGGACACAGCCAGCAUGGAGACACACGCCUUUAAUCUCAAUACCAACCAUAGAGACCUGGAGGUCUGUAUAGACAGGCAGUGACAAGGAGGUCAUGUGGUUGGGUUUAGAACCAAUGAGAAGGCAGAACAGAAAGUCAAUAAAAAAAAUACAGACACACAGGAAGUAGGUCUCUUUUCUCAGGGGAAGGAUGGCAGUGGCUGGUAAGCUAAGGGCUAUUCGCUAGUGCUCUGACUUCUUGGGCUUUUAACUCUGCAUUUGGCUCUAUGUUUCUUAUUUAAUAAGACCGUUCAGAAUUACAACUACAAUUGGUAGUGUUAGGAUUCUUCCACUCCAGCUGCAUGACCGCACAUGUGCAGUUCAGUAGCUAAGCAAGGGGUCUUAAGUCCUAUGUCAUCAGUGCGCUGCAUGAUCACGCAAAUGCACAGAGCCAUCACAUGAUCAGUGCAUGUGUGGCAUAGUUCCGUAAGCCCACCUGCGCGUGGGCAGGGGAAUCCUUAAAAAGUUGGACACAGACUCCUCCCCUCUAUCCUCUCUUUUCUCUCCUCCCCCCACUCUCUCUAUCUCCCUCUCUCUCUGCUCUCUGCACGUGCUUCUUCCCCAGGCCUGGUUCUUCUGCACCCCCCCUCCUCCUAACAAAGCUCUGAUUCUGGGUUUUGCUGUGGCUCACGCCUCAUGACCUUUUCACACGGUAACCAGCGCCGCUUAUUAUUUUUAAAACAACAUUGGUGCUGUGACGAGACAGGCUCUCCUGGUGCUCUGCGCCUGGGGCUCUGUGUCCAGGAUCCUAUACCAAGGUUCAUUGGACCUGCGAUUGCCUGCUCCACUCUUUUCAUUUGCCCAGCUGCCUGACCGCUCCACACAACACACCUUCUAACCAGAUUGGUGAGUUUCCUCUUUCUGAUCCCUUGACAUUUCCUGUGACUAUAGCCCAAGAUACAUUCCUCACGCCUGACCCCCUUGGGGGGUCCUCAGCUGUGUACCAUAAUACAUUAUCUCUUGAUGAAGUAUUGAAUGCUGUCUGGACUCCCAAGGAGUCCUCUGGUACAUAUGCCCCCCAGCCCUUGCACCUCCCAUGAUGAUGGGUAUGGUAACUUGUGCUGAUGCUGGUCCACAGAUUACCUGCCCUCGGGGACACCCAGGAUGGGAGUCUGGGAUCCCAUUUGUUAUUUUAAUUUUUUAUUUUUUUCUUUCGGCUGCAGUCAUGGGACAUGGAGGCUUCCUCCUCUUGGAUCCGCUCCUCCUCUGACAAAUACCUUAAAUAUCCCCAGAUACCAGUAAAUUUGGCCACAUAACAGCUGCUUGAACCCCAAUAUUUCACAGGAAUUAUCUAACUUUUGCCAACAGACAGGCAAAUGAAAAGAAUUACCUUAUCCUCACGCUUUUACCUAAGCUCUAAACCCUCCCUUUCUGAUUCUCUCUCUCCUGCCCACUUGUAUUCCUGAACCUAAGGAAUCUCUUACUCAAAAGAACCUUAUCUUAUCUGUUCUCUUCUCUGUUCUCUGGUACCAGGCAGGCUGCUAAGCACAGAGAGGUCUGGAAGCAGGCUAGGACGCAUGCAAAUAAGUUUAUGAUCAGGACCCACAUUGGGAUCAUAAUAAUCUGGAUGGUUUUUAGCCAGAGAUCAGUUUACAGCCUCUCUCCUGUCAGGUCUUCCUAAAGCUGUCCUCAAACCAUUGGGAUCAUAAUAAUCUGGAUGGCUCUUUAGCCAGAGAUCAGUUUACAGCCUGCCUCCUGGCGGGUUAUCCUAAAGCUGUCCUCAAGCCAGCAAACUAUCAAAAAAAAAAAAAAAUUCAUGACACAGAAUAAAAUCUGUCUCUUGUCUUCCAGAGCUCCCUGACAUUAGGGCUAAAACUUAAGCAUCUGGAGAGCAAGGCUUCUGACCCCACAGGCAGAAGUUUCAGCUGUGGCAUUUAAGGUACCAUGGGACAGAUAAGAAAGCCUGUGAACAGAAUUGCCAAGUGCUGGCACAUGCUAUCUGAGCGGCUGGAUAAGGGCUUCCAGAUCUCUGUUUUAGAAAGCCAUGUGGGCUAGUGCAUGCCCUGCUGGGCCAUCAACUGAGUCUUGUUUGAAGUGCCACCUAGAGAGUUAACUGGUCAGUUGACUGCCCCUGUGCACCUCAGGGCAUGGGGACAUCAAACUAAGACCUCCAGCAGACCUCCUAGGCCUGGCCACAGGCUCACAGGGAACCCAAGACGUAGCAUGGGCGAUCCAUUUCCUUCCUUUGGACACCACCAAGCCAUUUACUCAAUCCUGAGGGAGUUUUGGGGGUCCCACCUCUCCUCAUUUCCCUAUUGUCGGGGUAGGGGGAAGCCUCACCCACCUCACCAGACUUAAUUGUAUUUUCAGGGUUACUUAAUAGGAAAAGAUUUUCCAGCUAAGGUAGGAGCUUUCAUUUCAUUUGCUCCCCCCAUGUGCCUCACUCCAGACCAGUCAGUGGUGCCUCUUCUCCUCCUCAUGCACAUAGACAGGGCCCUGCUCUCUCUCAAGUUCCAGAGGACAUCAGAAUCUACUGCCUUGUCACCAAUUCCAGAAGAAUGAGGUUUUACCCCAGAAGCUUUUCCCUUCCUGGUUCCCUCUUCUAAUUAACUACUCAGCUAAUUGUUAUAGGAUCACCAUAGAGUUGGAGUCCAAGGACCAUCAGAUAUACCCAGGUGGUGAGGAACAACCCCAGACCCAAAAGUGUCUGGGCUCUGCAAAAACAGACUUUAAUAUAACCAUCUAUUACCAUUAAAUGCUCUCAACAAUUGAUCACCUGUGUCUCCUGGAUGCUAAACUAAUAAAGGAAAUAGGUGCCUUAAAAUAAUCUGUCUCUGAUAAAGCUUAUCUCAGGUAAAAAUUAAAAACAUAUUUCAACCUCUCUGUCUCUCUCAUUGACAGUAACCAAUAUAAGCAGAGUACCAAACACUACAAUGGUCACCAGCCCAAGACUGCUUCUUAAUAUAUUCAAAAUUUUUUCUAAGCUGCAGAAACCAGCUUAAAUCCCUCUGGACAGGUCAGAUCUACUUCAGCAUCCUGUCAGACACAAGCAGCCGGAGUGCCCAGCCAAGAAAGAUGAACAGCUCCAAGGCAGCAGACAACAGCCCACCAUCCCAAGAUGCCUGUCUACCUCAGAAGUCCCCUUCCCUACCCUCCAAGAGUCAAUUGAUGCCCACCAAGUCAGCUGGAAGCAGUUUUUUUCCGGGAGAAAAGACAUCCCCAUUCCUGUUUACCCGCUUUUUUAUAAUAAGCAAAAACUCUGGAAUGUUAGGAUUCUGCCCUACUCCAGCUGCAUGACCACACAUGCACAGUUCAGGAGCUAAGCAAGAGAUCUUGCAUCUUACAUCAUCCGUGUGCUGCAUGAUUGCACAAAUGUGUGCAGCAUGGUCAUGCAAUCAGUGCAUGCCUGGUUAGCAUGCCUCCAUUAGCCCACCUGUUCAUGUACAUUGUCAUCCUCUCUCCUUUCUGCUCUCUCCUCCCCCACUUUCUGCUCUCUGCACAUGCUUCUUCCCCAGACCUGGUUCCUUUGUCCCCGCUUUCUCCUAAUAAAGCUCUGAUACUGGG